GUGCCAGCAGCCGCGGUAAUACAGAGGGUGCAAGCGUUAAUCGGAAUUACUGGGCGUAAAGGGUGCGUAGGUGGUUUGAUAAGUUAGGUGUGAAAGUCCUGGGCUUAACCUGGGGACUGCGCCUAAUACUGUCAAGCUAGAGUACUGUAGAGGGAGGUGGAAUUUCCGGUGUAGCAGUGAAAUGCGUAGAUAUCGGAAGGAACAUCAGUGGCGAAGGCGACUUCCUGGACAGAUACUGACACUGAGGCACGAAAGCGUGGGGAGCAAACAGGAUUAGAUACCCUGGUAGUCC
rnacentral:rRNA from 1 species